rnacentral:rRNA from 1 species
UGGGGAAUAUUGGACAAUGGGCGCAAGCCUGAUCCAGCCAUGCCGCGUGAGUGAUGAAGGCCUUAGGGUUGUAAAGCUCUUUUGGCGGGGACGAUAAUGACGGUACCCGCAGAAUAAGCCCCGGCUAACUUCGUGCCAGCAGCCGCGGUAAUACGAAGGGGGCUAGCGUUGUUCGGAAUCACUGGGCGUAAAGCGCACGUAGGCGGACUUUCAAGUCAGGGGUGAAAUCCCGGGGCUCAACCUCGGAACUGCCUUUGAUACUGUUGGUCUUGAGUCCGGAAGAGGUGGGUGGAAUUCCUAGUGUAGAGGUGAAAUUCGUAGAUAUUAGGAAGAACACCGGUGGCGAAGGCGGCCCACUGGUCCGGUACUGACGCUGAGGUGCGAAAGCGUGGGGAGCAAACAGG